UAGGAAUACCCGCUGAACUUAAGCAUAUCAAUAAGCGGAGGA
rnacentral:rRNA from 1 species